rnacentral:rRNA from 1 species
GGCGAACGCUGGCGGCGUGCUUAACACAUGCAAGUCGAACGGAAAGGCCCUGCUUUUGUGGGGUGCUCGAGUGGCGAACGGGUGAGUAACACGUGAGUAACCUGCCCUUGACUUUGGGAUAACUUCAGGAAACUGGGGCUAAUACCGGAUAGGAGCUCCUGCUGCAUGGUGGGGGUUGGAAAGUUUCGGCGGUUGGGGAUGGACUCGCGGCUUAUCAGCUUGUUGGUGGGGUAGUGGCUUACCAAGGCUCUGACGGGUAGCCGGCCUGAGAGGGUGACCGGCCACAUUGGGACUGAGAUACGGCCCAGACUCCUACGGGAGGCAGCAGUGGGGAAUAUUGCACAAUGGGCGGAAGCCUGAUGCAGCAACGCCGCGUGCGGGAUGACGGCCUUCGGGUUGUAAACCGCUUUCGCCUGUGACGAAGCGUGAGUGACGGUAAUGGGUAAAGAAGCACCGGCUAACUACGUG